GUCCUUGUAGAGAAGCUACACACACACACAAGCAGAGAAAGAUAGAGAGAGAAAGAUCAAUCAAUCUAGAGAGAGAGAGGGAGAGAGAGACUCAAAUUCUAAACCAAAAUUAAUUAAGAUGGGUGUGUUGCCAUGCAAGCGCCUUGUUCUGGUGGCUUUUUUCUUGCUUUGCUUUAUAUCCUCCAUCACAGCUACAGCAAGAAGAUUUUAUACAGAAACUACUUAUGAAGCUGAAAAGGGUGAGGAUGUUAAAUUUAAGA